GAUUUGCGUGUGGAGAGCGUACAUGACUCGAGCAGUGAGGAGGAAGCACUCAGCGAACAGUACUCAGCAUCACCACUGCUCUCCGCACGCGAAGAGGACUCCAGGGAUGAAGAAGAGUCCGAUGGAAGGAGCAACACUGUGCCUCCCUCAGGAUGCUUCCCUUCAAUCAACUUGGAAGAAAAAACAAAGGAAGCCAUCUCUCAAUCAGAAGAGAAGGACUUAUGAAUGGGAUGGGUCCUGCAGGAAACCCUGCACCCGAAGACCUGAAGACACGUCCAACAAUAAACUGUAGGCCUCUUGUAAGAGCUGCUCCAAACCACACGCCACUCGCGAUCUCAUACCACUCCACCUGCUGUUUCCCACAAGUGCACAGCAGGACAGUCUGAGCACGACCCAGAUGCUCCAGAUGCUCCACAGGUCCACGGAGAAAGUGAGCCAGGAGGGAGCUCGGGCUCCAUCUGCAGGUUCGAUAUUGGCCCCGAGGAAGAGUCAGCGUGAAAAGCAUGCACGUGGAACAAGGAGAAGAAACACGCCUGGAGGAACUGCUCUCCUGCACCUGUCCUUUGCAGGCCACAAAGUCUUUUGUCUGUCCGACCACAGGAUGGCACUGGGAUCCCUGAGGACAAAACGAGGAGACCAUCUGAGUCGGCCACACACGCAGAGCUGGGUUUCCAGUCACUGCUGAUGACUGACACUCUGAGGAGGAGGCGACGCUCUGGGCCUUCAACAGUGCAUUGUCUGGUGAGAAGGGGCCCGCCUGGGACUGUGGGGCCCAGCAACCUUCCAGGCUUUUCCCCCGUCGGCUGCAGGGACUGCUCCUCCUCCCCCCCGUCCAUCCAGUCUCCAGCAACAAUGCAGAGCAUGAGAGAUGCAGGAGGAAGCGGGACUGCCCGGGUCCCGUGGCCACUCUGGAAUCUACUGGAUGGGCAGCGCCCAUCCCAGCUAUAUUCCCCUGCCGCUCAGUCCCUGAAAUACCCCUGUCGCUUCCAUGCACAGGUCUGUGACUGAUGCUGGGCGCAACACUGGCCGUGGCACCACAGAACAAGCCCACCUCAGCCUGUGUGUGUUUCUGGAGCAGCGAUAGGUUUAGCGAGGAGGGCCUGCCCCAGAUCUGAGCUCUACCUCUGGAGCACUCAGACACCACAACAGAGACAC